rnacentral:rRNA from 1 species
UACAGAGGGCGCAAGCGUUGUUCGGAUUCAUUGGGCGUAAAGGGUGCGUAGGUGGCGCCGUAAGUCAGGGGUGAAAUCUCGGGGCUCAACCCCGAAACUGCAUUUGAUACUGCGGUGCUCGAGUACUGGAGAGGAGAUUGGAAUUUACGGUGUAGCAGUGAAAUGCGUAGAUAUCGUAAGGAAGACCAGUGGCGAAGGCGAAUCUCUGGACAGUUACUGACACUGAGGCACGAAGGCGAGGGGAGCAAACGGG